rnacentral:rRNA from 1 species
UACGUAGGUGGCAAGCGUUGUCCGGAAUUAUUGGGCGUAAAGCGCGCGCAGGCGGUCCUUUAAGUCUGAUGUGAAAGCCCACGGCUCAACCGUGGAGGGUCAUUGGAAACUGGAGGACUUGAGUACAGAAGAGGAAAGCGGAAUUCCACGUGUAGCGGUGAAAUGCGUAGAGAUGUGGAGGAACACCAGUGGCGAAGGCGGCUUUCUGGACCGAGACUGACGCUGAGGCGCGAAAGCGUGGGGAGCAAACGGG